rnacentral:rRNA from 1 species
GACGUAGGGCGCGAGCGUUGUCCGGAUUUAUUGGGCGUAAAGAGCUCGUAGGCGGCUUGUCGCGUCGACUGUGAAAUCCCGCGGCUCAACUGCGGGUCUGCAGUCGAUACGGGCAGGCUAGAGUUCGGUAGGGGAGACUGGAAUUCCUGGUGUAGCGGUGAAAUGCGCAGAUAUCAGGAGGAACACCGGUGGCGAAGGCGGGUCUCCGGGCCGAUACUGACGCUGAGGAGCGAAAGCGUGGGGAGCGAACAGG